rnacentral:lncRNA from 1 species
AGUCGGUCACGAGGAAGAAGAAACGGAAAGCGGCCCCAAGUUAGGCUCUCACAGACCCCGGCGGCACCGAUCCAUCCCCAAGCCCCCUUCUUCUGCGUAUUCGGUUCCCGAGUCCAGCGGUUGAUCCGGUGCAUGUGGGCGACUGUCUCGGAAGUGCUGUCCCGGUCCCGCGCGGCUGUGGACUUUCAGCGCAUGGCGGAGCGCCGGACGCGGCGCUUUCGGCGCACCUACAGGGAUCCGCGCUGCCCGGACGCUCCGGGACUCCUGCCCCCCCUCAUCCAGGCGGGCUGUUCGGGGCUUUUCAUUCAGAGGGAAUGAACAAAUGGCAAAAACUUACCGGGGGGCGGAGGGCUCCCCCCUGCCUUACAGGUACCGCGCGGGUUUGGAUGUUCGGUAACCGGCAGUGACCACCGAGGCUCAAUGAUCCGCUCCACAGCCCUCCGUCACUGCCUCAUGAUCCGGUGUGAAGGAAACCCGAACACCGGGGGGGGGGGGGGGAGCGGAGCCGGGGGAGGGGGCAGCUCAGUGCCCCGGUAACCUCACGAAUCCCUGCAUUUCUCCGAUUUAUCGUCUUAAAAUCCUCAAAGCGCCGCGGGAAAAAAAAAUUCACAAUCACAGCGCGUCCACGGAGAGCCGCGCGGCGCGUGAAGUUCUCCCGCCGAUCGAGCGCUGAGUUUCAGGCCGGUUCAUCAACCAAAAACGGGUCGGAAAAGACCGGAAUCCUCGGUCCGAGUGUCCAAUUACCGACUGCUCAGUUGUUCCGAGAGUUAGUCGCUAACAUUCCAAUCCCGACACGACGGCAGCUGACGUUACGUCCCACAGACGCGCAGCGGCGCCGCUGAUUGGUCCGUCCGUGGGAACGGAAGGGGCGGGGCCUGCUGGAAAGCACCCAUUCAUAACCGGAGUCCUCCGCGCGAGCAAAUCAUCUGAGGGGAAGUUCAUGGAGGAGAGCCGAAGAUGUGGCCGAGAUUGGAGCUUUAACCUGAAAUAUUUCCAUUUAAUGAAGUCCUUUCAGCGUAAAAGCCUCACUGAAAGCUGAGAAAUAGGACUUGUUUACCUUUUUUCUGUCACUCAUGAUGCCUGUUUAUCCCAACAGGGAGAAAAGUCAUAAAAAAGAUCUUCAUCAAUAAUUGUGUUUUUGUUUUUUUCAAAAUAAACCUUUAAUAAUCAAUGCUCUAAUUCUUUAUUUCAAACCUGACACUCUUACCACACUCGGGUUAUUUUGGAUUUAAACAAAUCCAACUUGGGUUAAAUUGAACAAGUGAUUUGUUAAUCAUAUACAUUCUUUCUUAAAUAAUGCAGUUAUACACAAUUUAAAACUUUGCACUGUCAUCUAUAUUCAUGUUUAUUUUAUUUAGUACUUACUUAUUAAUGCACAUGACAGAAGAUUGGUCUCUAUUUUAUUUUAUAGCAAUAUUAUUCUAG